rfam:Medicago truncatula strain A17 chromosome 3, whole genome shotgun sequence.
UUAGAUGUGAAUUGAUUUAUGUUUGGAUACACUCGUUUAAAAGUGAUUCUUAUGCAUUAAUUUUGUUUGUAUAU